CCCCCCCCCCCCCCCCCCCUUCGGACGUCACGUAGAAUAUAUUUAUGACCAACACACCGUGUCGCCUUCAGGUGUCACUAACAACAUUCACAGAGAUAUGUUUUUUUUCUUUUACAGAAUGCUCUUAUUCUUCUUAUGAGUACGGUGUUUUUAAAGGUGUAAUAAUGCCUGAUUCCACACGUUGACCACAGGACGAGCUCGUCGUUUCGUUUCAAACUUUGCCCCUUUCAAAAUGGUAAAAUUUUAUUUUUUUUUAAACUUUCUGGUCUGAGCAAUAUGGAGAAAAUCACAUUGUAUUUUUGGGGAUUGUCACAUGAUUGUCACAUGUGAGGACCGAUCGAGCAGUACCUCACUUUACUGGGACGCAGCCUUUGAAUCCAGGACAAUAAAAAAUAAAAAUCCACUACAAUAUUUAACUCGAUAUCACGGUAUUGAUACAUCAACAUAUCGGCCAUGUGAUCAAAUCCAGCUUCUUUGUCUCUCACACUUUACACGGCAGCUGCUCAGCUACAUCAAUCAUUACCUUUUUAUAAAUGACAUUACCAAGGAAACCAACACAAAGUAUUUUAAUUUUAUUUCUUAGGAGCCUGGCACUAAGUCAUUUAUUAAUUUCCUGUCAUAAAGAGGAACAGGUGGCAAAAAGGAAAAUGCCAGUGAAAAUUGUUUUAAUAUCAAAAUGUGCCAUUUUAUUAUAACACUAUAUUCUUUCAAGACAAUUGAAAUUACCGUUUUAUUUUCUGUAGCAUGUAAUGUGUUAAUAUACUAGUAAAUAAAGUCAAACCAAUGACAAAUGAGUUGUUAAAUGUAUGGGCUGUUCUUUUGGUAAAACGGAUGACGAAUGUUUUAACCGAACCAAACAAACCUUUUCAUUCUUGCUGCACAGUUGCUUAGCUACAGAAAUGAUUGCCAUUCAUAUUACCAGGGUUAUUUUUAGUAACACCACGUGAAGCUGUAUAGCUAUAGUGUCAAUGUACAGGCAGGGUCUGUACGGUCAUGGAAAACUUGAAAAGGUCAUGGAUUUUGAAAAUGGUCAUUUCCAGGCCCAUUUCAUAUAUUGUCCAUAAUUUAAAGUAAGAAAAAAAAAGUAUCGUUUCAGGCAGGCGGUAUGUUUAAAAGGUUUUAGCACUGGUAUCGAGUAUCGUUUGGAGAAAAGCCCAAACGAUACUCAUCCAUGGUGGAUAAGACAGACUUUCUUGGGGCCUAAUUGUAGGGGAAACACCG
ensembl:lncRNA